GGCAUGAGGUGAAGGAGAUGGCACAUGCGGGGGUACAGAGCAGUGAUUGAAACCACACGCCAUGUUGGGAGACUUCCAAAAAAGCCUGGCGCAUUGGCACUUAGGGAAGAAGAAAUCAUCUUCUCGUCAGUGGCCCAGACAAUGCUUUUGAUGAACAGAUGAUGAGUGGCAAUGCAAGGUGAACUAUUACAAGGAUCCUGUGUGCUGUCAAAUGAAUUAAGAGGAAGGAAAAAUUCCUCUGGGCUGCUGAGGCCAAGACACGCUUCAUUUUAAGCUUAGUCCUGAAGAUGAGUGGGAUUUAGAUAAAAAAUAAAGAACGGGAAUGAGCAUGAACAAAAACGUGAUGGGGAAAGCAUACUUGCUAUUUUCAAAAGCCAGCCGCAGCGCUAUCAGAGGCAGGCAAAUAGGCCCGGAAAAGUAGGUUCCCAGAGAAGGCUAUCUUUGAAAUACAGGCUGGAGCACUUAAUCCAAAGCCAGAAAAAUACUCCAACAUUGGCUUCAGCUGCCCAUCAAACUCGAUUACAUACAAGAGAAUUUCAUAAAUAUAUCAUUUUUUUCUCAUUAGAAUUCAUUGUCUCUACUGAUUUCAAAAUCAGAAAAUAUUUAUAGU